CUGGGUAUAACAAAAAUUUUUUUUUUUGGUCAAAAGGAUGUGCUAGAUUUUUUUAGAUUCAUCGGAAACCAAAAAUUUUUUUCCCCUACUACCCCUUCUUUUCUAAAAUUUUUUUAGACUCAAACUGCACGUUCACAACGGAGAUAUAGAUCGACGUCACGACAACAGCAGUGGCGAGUUGAGGCUGAUUCGUUGUUGCGACCUAAGGCUAUGGCUCAUCAAUUAAACUCCUCUGCUUAGGUCUUUGACGGUGCCGAAGGGAUCACUGAUUGGAGUUCCGGCCAAGUUUUGGGCCGAAGAAAGUUUUGCUCAUUGAGUUGAUUGACUAUGAUCCUCGGAAACGUUGUCUACAAAAGUCUGCACUUCCUAGUGGGCUUCACACUCGGGCUUCAAGCACGUUUGUAACUUGAAGGUUUUCCUUUAUUUAUUUAUUUAUUUUUACGGGGUUAAAAUAACUUGACUUUUCCAGUCUAAUUACAAAGUCGUAUCUUAAAAAAAAAAGUCUGAUUACAAAGGGGCCCUAUUCUAA